rnacentral:rRNA from 1 species
AUUGAACGCUGGCGGCAUGCCUUACACAUGCAAGUCGAACGGCAGCACGGGAGCAAUCCUGGUGGCGAGUGGCGAACGGGUGAGUAAAGUAUCGGAACGUGCCCAGUCGUGGGGGAUAACGUAGCGAAAGUUACGCUAAUACCGCAUACGAUCUAUGGAUGAAAGCGGGGGAUCGCAAGACCUCGCGCGAUUGGAGCGGCCGAUGUCAGAUUAGGUAGUUGGUGGGGUAAAGGCCCACCAAGCCGACGAUCCGUAGCUGGUCUGAGAGGACGACCAGCGACACUGGGACUGAGACACGGCCCAGACUCCGACGGGAGGCAGCAGUGGGGAAUUUUGGACAAUGGGCGAAAGCCUGAUCCAGCCAUGCCGCGUGCAGGAUGAAGGCCUUCGGGUUGUAAACUGCUUUUGUACGGAACGAAAAGGUUUGGCCUAAUAAGCUGAGCUCAUGACGGUACCGUAAGAAUAAGCACCGGCUAACUACGUGCCAGCAGCCGCGGUAA